rnacentral:tRNA from 1 species
GUUGUCGUGGCCGAGUGGUUAAGGCGAUGGACUAGAAAUCCAUUAGGGUUACCCCAUGCAGGUUCAAAUCCUGCCGAUAACG